rnacentral:rRNA from 1 species
UUACCCUAAUUCUUUUGAUUUUGGAGAAGUAAAUGUGAGAAAAUUUUUUAUACAUGUUAGUGUAAGCAUAUAAGUGAGUAAAUAUUGAGAAAUAUCAAUUAAUAUCAGGAUUUUAAAGAUAAAAACUUUUUUAACCUACAACGUUAAGCAUAUAGCCACGUUCUUACUGGAACAAAGAAGAAUCUAAGACAGCAGUAAAGAAUUCUAUACAAUUAAUGUAAAUUAGAUAUGGAAAUUUUCGUAAACUUUGUCUAAUCAAGUGCCAGCAGACGCGGUUAAACUUGAAAAGUAAACAUUUAAAUAGAAAUAGGUAAAUAUGUUUAGGAAAAUUUAUGAGAAUAUAAUAAAAAUUUUUGAGUUGGUUAAAUAAACAAAAAUUAAAAAUUUAAAAAAGAAAUUAUUAUAUUAAAUAACCUAAAACAUGAAAAAAAGAUACCAAAUAGGAUUAGAUACCCUAGUAGGCUUUUAUGUUAACAGAAUUAUUCUACCUGAACAGUAUACUUUUAAAAGUGAAAAUCAAAAAUUUUGGCUGUUUAUUUUCUAAUUAGAGGAACAUGUGAUUUAAUUCGAUAAUCCGCGAAAAACCUUACCUAUUUUUGAAUUUCAGGUGCUGCAUGGUCGUCGUCAAUUUAAUUUUAUUAAUUAAAUAAAACCCAAAAUUGGUUUAAGUCAGAUAAUAUGGCCUUAAUAAAUAGGGAUAUCAUGUGUUACAAUAUUUAAUAUAAUAUAAAUUUAAAUUUGAAUUAUUAUUGUAAAAUAAUUUGAAAGAGGAUUUAAUAGUAAUUGAAAAGAGAAAGUUUCAAUGAAUUAGUUCAAAUAUGAGUACAAAUUGCCCGUCGCCUUUAUUGAUGAAUUAAAAAUUUAAAAAUAGAGCAAGUCGUAACAUAGUGGGGAGAAGGGAACUUCUCCCUGUAAAUUUAAAUUU